UGCUCGCAUAGCAAAAGCUGGCUGAGUUCAAAAUGAAGUCACAUUUAUAUUUUUUGUUGCUUCUUGUUGGUUUUUCCACAGCAUUUAUUCCAACAAAACCAUUGACGAUUGUAAGUGGAGCUUGGUCUUCUCUUAAUCACAAAAUUAUCACACAGGCAGGGUUAUGGUGUAGCGUCAUUGACUUCCUUAAAACAAAUCCAAAGUACGCGAAUCAAGAUAGAACUGCUGAACUCUUGUCUGUCGACACAGCAAGAAUACUUGAAGGCAAGGUAUCUGGCAGGCUCUUUCAUUUGGUAAGGUCUUCAAAAUUCGGCGAUGCUGUUAAAGAAAUAGAGAACGCAAAUGCAAUGGUAGACAACAAUGAAGAAGAGAAUCCUGCCGCCCAUUUCGACGCUGAGCAGUUUCGUAAAAGUUCCAUACGUCUUCAUGACUUAAAAAAACAAAUUAUUUCUCUGAUUAAAAAUGCUGGCAAUAACGAAGUGGACUACACCAAGGCUAGGAAGGAGACUGGUAGAUUACUCCAUACUUUGCAAGACUUUUACAGUCAUUCAAACUGGAUCGAAUCAGGAAAUAGUGACCCCUUAUCAAUCUUGGGAAAUGAAAUUAUAAACGAAGAUUAUGUAGCCGGAGCGGACGAGAAAACGUGCAAUGACUGUACCCCAGCGGAAACAUAUAACCUUGGUCUCGAUUCUGAUGACUGUCAGAACAAUUUAUUGAAUACAGGGAAACUAACAAGUGGUUACUACGGAGGACAAGAUGUGACUAAACCUCGAGGUGUCGGCAAAUGUAGUCAUGGCGGUAUCUUGGACAAGUCACGGGAAUUAAAGUCUAAAGGAGGCAUUAAUAAGGACUCUUCUAUUCGUUAUUUAUCAC